rnacentral:rRNA from 1 species
UUGGAGGGCAAGUCUGGUGCCAGCAGCCGCGGUAAUUCCAGCUCCAAUAGCGUAUAUUAAAGUUGUUGCAGUUAAAAAGCUCGUAGUUGAAUUUCGGGGUUAGUAGGUUGGUCAUGCCUCUGGUAUGUACUGGUCUCACUGAUUCCUCCUUCCUGAUGAACCGUAAUGCCAUUAAUUUGGUGUUGCGGGGAAUUUGGACUGUUACUUUGAAAAAAUUAGAGUGUUUAAAGCAAGCUAACGCUUGAAUACAUUAGCAUAGAAUAAUGAAAUAGGACGUUCGAUCCUAUUUUGUUGGUUUCUAGGAUUGACGUAAUGAUUAAUAGGGAUAGUUGGGGGCAUUAGUAUUCAAUUGUCAGAGGUGAAAUUCUUGGAUUUAUUGAAGACUAACUACUGCGAAAGCAUUUGCCAAGGAUGUUUUCAUUAAUCAAGAACGAAAGUUAGGGGAUCGAAGACGAUCAGAUACCGUCGUAGUCUUAACCAUAAACUAUGCCGACUAGGGAUCGGAUGAUGUUAAUUUUUUAAUGACUCAUUCGGCGCCUUACGGGAAAC